GGCCUACCAUGGUGGUAACGGGUAACGGGGUGUUAGGGCACGACACCGGAGAGGGAGCCUGAGAAACGGCUACCACAUCCAAGGAUGGCAGCAGGCGCGCAAAUUACCCAAUCCCGACACGGGGAGGUAGUGACAAUAAAUAACAAUACGGGGUUCUUUAGGAUCUCGUAAUUGGAAUGAGUACAAUUUAAAUCUCUUAACGAGGAACAAUUGGAGGGCAAGUCUGGUGCCAGCAGCCGCGGUAAUUCCAGCUCCAAUAGCGUAUAUUAAAGUUGUUGCAGUUAAAAAGCUCGUAGUUGAAUUUCGGGAUCAUCAGGUUGGUCGUGCCACUGGUAUGUACUUGCCUCGGUGGUCCCUCCCUCUUGAAGAACCGUAAUGCCAUUAAUUUGGUGUUGCGGGGAAUCAGGACUGUUACUUUGAAAAAAUUAGAGUGUUUAAAGCAGGCAAACGCUUGAAUACAUUAGCAUGGAAUAAUGAAAUAGGACGUUUGAUCUUAUUUUGUUGGUUUCUAGGAUCGACGUAAUGAUUAAUAGGGAUAGUUGGGGGCAUUAGUAUUCAAUUGUCAGAGGUGAAAUUCUUGGAUUUAUUGAAGACUGACUACUGCGAAAGCAUUUGCCAAGGAUGUUUUCAUUAAUCAAGAACGAAAGUUAGGGGAUCGAAAGACGAUCAGAUACCGUCGUAGUCUUAACCAUAAACUAUGGCCGACUAGGGAUCGGAUGAUGUUAAUUUUUUUAAUGACUCAUUUCGGCGCCUUACG
rnacentral:rRNA from 1 species